GGAAUCCAACCAGGGUUACAGUCCAGUAUGGCCCGGGCAGAGUUAUGGAACACAGCGAGAAAGGAGGGAGAGAAUGAGAGGACAGGUCACGGCAACCAAAACACAGGCAGAAACCUUGGCCAUUAUUACAUAGCAUUUAUUUGCAACAUGUCUUUGAAUUUAUUUAUUUUUAAGUAAAAAAAUGUAAUGACCAAGUAUACUGGGCUUAAAGGAAGAGCUAUAGUUGAAGUAUUCUGCUAUCAGGUGAGGACAGGUGUGUGUUGAGGUAUUCUGUAAUGAGGUGAGGACAGGUGUGUGUGUGUGUGUGUGUGUGUGUGUGUUUGUGUGUGUUGAGGUAUUCUGCUAUCAGGUGAGGACAGGUGUGUGUGUGUUGAGGUAUUCUGUAAUGAGGUGAGGACAGGUGUGUUGAGGUAUUCUGCUAUCAGGUGAGGACAGGUGUGUGUGUGUUGAGGUAUUCUGUUAUGAGGUGAGGACAGGUGUGUGUGUGUUGAGGUAUUCUGUAAUGAGGUGAGGACUGGUGUGUGUGUGUUGAGGUAUUCUGUAAUGAGGUGAGGACUGGUGUGUGUGUGUUGAGGUAUUCUGUAAUGAGGUGAGGACUGGUGUGUGUUGAGGUAUUCUGUUAUGAGGUGAGGACUGGUGUGUGUUGAGGUAUUCUGUAAUGAGGUGAGGACAGGUGUGUGUUGAGGUAUUCUGUUAUGAGGUGAGGACUGGUGUGUGUGUGUUGAGGUAUUCUGUAAUGAGGUGAGGACUGGUGUGUGUGUGUUGAGGUAUUCUGUAAUGAGGUGAGGACAGGUGUGUGUUGAGGUAUUCUGUUAUGAGGUGAGGACUGGUGUGUGUGUGUUGAGGUAUUCUGUAAUGAGGUGAGGACUGGUGUGUGUUGAGGUAUUCUGUUAUGAGGUGAGGACUGGUGUGUGUUGAGGUAUUCUGUAAUGAGGUGAGGACUGGUGUGUGUGUGUGUUGAGGUAUUCUGUAAUGAGGAGAGGACUGGUGUGUGUUGAGGUAUUCUGUUAUGAGGUGAGGACUGGUGUGUGUUGAGGUAUUCUGUAAUGAGGUGAGGACUGGUGUGUGUUGAGGUAUUCUGUAAUGAGGUGAGGACUGGUGUGUGUUGAGGUAUUCUGUAAUGAGGUGAGGACUGGUGUGUGUGUGUUGAGGUAUUAUGUUAUGAGGUGAGGACAGGUGUGUGUGUGUUGAGGCAUUCUGUAAUGAGGUGAGGACAGGUGUGUGUGUUGAGGUAUUUUGUAAUGAGGUGAGGACUGGUGUGUGUGUGUUGAGGUAUUCUGUUAUGAGGUGAGGACAGGUAUGUGUUGAGGUAUUUUAUAAUGAGGUGAGGACAGGUGUUGAGGUAUUCUGUAAUGAGGUGAGGACUUGUGUGUGUUGAGGUAUUCUGCUAUCAGGUGAGGACAGGUGUGUGUUGAGGUAUUCUGUAAUGAGGUGAGGACUGGUGUGUGUGUGUGUGUUGAGGUAUUCUGUAAUGAGGUGAGGACAGGUGUGUGUUGAGGUAUUCUGUUAUGAGGUGAGGACAGGUGUGUGUUGAGGUAUUCUGUAAUGAGGUGAGGACUGGUGUGUUUUGAGGUAUUCUGUUAUGAGGUGAGGACAGGUGUGUGUUGAGGUAUUCUGUAAUGAGGUGAGGACUGGUGUUUUGAGGUAUUCUGCUAUCAGGUGAGGACUGGUGUGUGUUGAGGUAUUCUGUAAUGAGGUGAGGACUGGUGUUUUGAGGUAUUCUGCUAUCAGGUGAGGACUGGUGUUGAGGUAUUCUGGAGCCAUGAACAACAGAACCUUUUGUGACAACACAGUCAUUGUCAUGCUAUACCAUCAUGGCGAAAUGUCAAAUGACUCACUGUGCUCAAUGUCAGAAGUAGACAAUACAUGUUCACACUACAAUAAUAUAUAAUCUAGAUGGAUGUUCAAAUGACUGCUGGCUCUGUUGUGUUGCUGCCCUGGUGCAGUAGAAAAGAGGCUGUGUUCAUAGUGUACAUUAAGUUACGGCCCUAGAAAAUCCCUUUAAUUUCUUGGCCUGAUUCCAUCUAGUUUUUCUCCAAAUUCUGUUUCUUUGUUUAGUUUUUCCAGGUUUCCAUUUUUCCGAAAUGGUUCAGGUUUUCGCUCUCAAAAUCACACUUUUUAGAAUAGAAAAACAACCAAAUUUGAUGUUUUAAGUCCACAACCAUGCUUAAACCACAUCAGGAGACCCCUUUUGAGAUCUGGGAAAAAUUCUUUAACUCAACUGCGCA